CAAAGACAUGCAGUCGAGCGAAUGGAUUGAGAGCUUGCUCUCAAGAAGUUAGCGGCGGACGGUUGAGUAACACGUGGGUAACCUGCCCAUAAGACUGGGAUAACUCCGGGAAACCGGGGCUAAUACCGGAUAACAUUUUGAACUGCAUGGUUCGAAAUUGAAAGGCGGCUUCGGCUGUCACUUAUGGAUGGACCCGCGUCGCAUUAGCUAGUUGGUGAGGUAACGGCUCACCAAGGCAACGAUGCGUAGCCGACCUGAGAGGGUGAUCGGCCACACUGGGACUGAGACACGGCCCAGACUCCUACGGGAGGCAGCAGUAGGGAAUCUUCCGCAAUGGACGAAAGUCUGACGGAGCAACGCCGCGUGAGUGAUGAAGGCUUUCGGGUCGUAAAACUCUGUUGUUAGGGAAGAACAAGUGCUAGUUGAAUAAGCUGGCACCUUGACGGUACCUAACCAGAAAGCCACGGCUAACUACGUGCCAGCAGCCGCGGUAAUACGUAGGUGGCAAGCGUUAUCCGGAAUUAUUGGGCGUAAAGCGCGCGCAGGUGGUUUCUUAAGUCUGAUGUGAAAGCCCACGGCUCAACCGUGGAGGGUCAUUGGAAACUGGGAGACUUGAGUGCAGAAGAGGAAAGUGGAAUUCCAUGUGUAGCGGUGAAAUGCGUAGAGAUAUGGAGGAACACCAGUGGCGAAGGCGACUUUCUGG
rnacentral:rRNA from 1 species